CUGUUUCUCAUGCAUUUUUGCAUUCCCUC
rnacentral:piRNA from 2 species